GAGGGAGAUGAGCUGCAGCUGCAGCUAGGAUGCCUGUGUGGAAAGUGUCUGCUAGAUACAGAACACAAAUAGUUUCUGCAUUUCUAAAAGGCCCAACUGCCGCGCUUGGCAUUAGUGAAGGGCAAGAUGCUGAGGAAAAGGGACAGCUCUAGGACCAGUUUGGGUGUGUGAGAAGUUAAACUUCCAACGCAGGGAGCAGGAAGCAAACGUAGCAGGUGGGAUAGCAAGCUGGUGGAGGAGGGGCUGCCACAGGCGGGUGACACAGACAAAGCAGGAAACUCCGAGGGAUCUCCUAUGGAAGCUGAGCAUCUUGAGGGCCCAACCCGGCAGAUAUGCUUACCGCUAGUCCCAGCCGUUGGGAUAAAAGGUCUUUUGGUAACCUUCCUGCGACGUUAUCUGUUGGGAAGAUAAACAAAUUCACUGUGAACUGCCCAAGGAAGGAUUGAGUACUAGAGGGGACAGACGGCAAGGCUUAAAUGCAAAUUCAUUGCAGGACAAGAGUCCCAGCUGGAUCUUCCUGAUACACCUGGAGUCACUGGCUCCAGGCUUCACUACUGAGCACAGAAUGGAGCCAUUGGAGACUGGUGGAAAGCUGGCAGGUUCUCACCCCUUUGGCUGUUGGACUUUGCCUGGCCGUCCCAUCAGUUCUCUGGGGAAGCAGGACAAGGAGAGCCUAGCCAGACUGGCUUAGACCAUCCGCCAAUGAGGUGGAGCCACCUGCUGUGCUGCUUCUCAUCCCUCUCCUUUGAUGUGCCACUACCUGCCCGAGGCCUAACCGGUUUUCCAAGAUCUUCCGGAGUUAGCUUCGAACUGUGAUCUUUGAGAGUUCCUACUAAAAGACUGAUCUGACAACUUCAAAGGAACUUGUGACUGAAAAUGGGCCUACCCUCUUCUUUAUAAAGCAUGUUCGCUGACAUUAAAGUUGAACCUUGAUC
rnacentral:lncRNA from 1 species